UAACAUAAUGUUUGCAUGUGUUCCACACACCGUGUAUGCGGUGUGGUGCAUGGUAUGGUUCUUCAAAGUGAGGAUGUAAAAAUCCAGGUGUAAUUGUGUAGAAAUCAUACAGUUUCUUUGGGUUUUGUAUCACUUUCCCUGUGUAGAAUAAAGCAGUGCAGGCAUUCAAGGAUAUGUUCAAUUGGUACUUCAACAUUACUGUCGGAAACAAGGUCAUGACAAUGUUUCUGCUACAAACAGCACAUUGAUGUUGGGUGUGCAAGCAGAGUGGGUACAAUUUGAAUGAAAAUAUAUAAACUUAGGGAAAAAAAAAAAAAAAAACCAAAAGGGAAAAAGAAAAAAUCUGUUCAGGUUUUUAGCCAGAUCUGCUGGAUUCAGACAGAAAGUUAAAUCAGGUAAAGAAAAAAAGAGACAAAAUGAAAAUCCAAAGCCCAGACUGAGGUAACAAAAGUAAAUGAAUUUCACAACAUGCAUACAUAGUGGAGGAAUGCUAUAAUCUUAUCCUUGUAACCUCAAUCCACUCUCCUCCCAGCACUUAUUGCUCUCAUUAGUUAGGAAAUAUCUAAAAGCAGAUAGUAAAUUUCUUGUGUGAGGACAGUCUCUUUAAUGUAUUCUGAACAUGCCUGGUAUAACUUCAGAGGUUCUAUACAAAAAUAAUAUUACCUCUUGGGGUUUUUCUGUAUUAUUUCUAAGCACAGGAAACAUUAAAAUGCAGCAAGUCUGGAAAGGUCAAACUGUAUCUCCCCUCAUUCUGUGCAGGACUUCAGAAAUGAUCAAAAGGUUACGCUGAGGUAACUGAUAUGAAACCUGAAACACCGUGAUCACAAAACUUGCAUCAAUUUGUGCCCAUGCAGGCGAAGCAUCAUCUCAUUUCACUCCUGAAAAAUGAUUAUUUUAUUUUACAUUUUAUAGCUGUUUGGAACUGUUUGUUCCUAACAACUACUCCUCACAGAUGUGCAUCAAUGUAGUGUAAUUACACAGAGACACUGUCAGCCUGAAGGAACCCAACCUGUACAUUACACCCAUACUGAGUAUGGAAGGUGAGUGAUUUGUGACUUGGGAUUUGGAAGGCUGCUUUGCUUUCCUGCUCUUCCAUCACCAUUUCUGAGCUGGUAAAAGCAGGAGACUGCCAGCGUGUAGUGCUUGCUCAGACACACUUCCUUCCUUUUUCGUUAUUCCUCUAUGUUGGGCAGAGCUUUGAUGAGGGUUCGGUUGCCAGUGUGUGCUUAGGCUCUGCAUUUAACUACGGAAGGGAAGGAAAGAAAAGUCAGUGCCAGCCACCUGGGUGCAGAAUGGAAGAAGAAAUGUUAUCCAAGGAUGGGAGUAAACCCCUGCUAUUACAAACCAGAUUGGAAAGCAGCAAGGACAAUUUCAAACAGGAACUUCAAAACCAAGAUAGAACCAAAGACUUUUUCAGGAUGAAAGAACACAUCUUUUUCAAGAGAAAGAAGUUGUUGUAGAUCUGUCAGCAAGGCUCUGGGAGUAGGAGGAUGUUUGGAUUUCCGGCAUAUUGCAACGCAGUUCUUGGCCACCAGCAAAGCUCUGUGUGUGAAUCUCAUUUUAUAUCCGUUGUUUGCAAUACCACAUAUUUUAAGAGACAUUUGAAGUAGUCUCUGUACUCCUAAUCCUAGAUAAGUAAUCACAAAUCAUUCCCUAAAGGAAACCGAGAAGGCAGAAUACCUACUUUUACGUAUCUCAUGUCAUGAGAGACUGUGGAUGAAAUGAUGCUGUCACAGAAAUGGAAUUAAAUCUGUUGUAUACUGAAAAAUUUCAGUCUGCAUUCAAAGUUCUUAGCUCAGAUCAGCCUAUUGUUUGCUAUGUUUUUUCUUUCCAGAUUCAGAUAUAGCAGUAUUUUGAAUGACACACUUUUUGCAUUAAAACAUCAUUAGCCAGCUAAUUUUAUUACUCAAUUUUU